UCACCACCACAUGGUUUCCUUUGCGUGGCAAAGAAAAAUACAGUUCCAGUCCGAUCGAUUUUUAGCCAGCUUAAAUUUCUUCAAUUAAUUAUUUAAAAAAGUUACUUGCAAUUAAACAGUGUACCCCUCGGCAGUACAUGCCUCCACGUGUCCCUGCCUUCAAAUGAAGUGACCCAGCCGUGGGGGUCACCACCACCAAGGACACUGAAAAUAACCUGUUGUAAAUAUCCAAGGUGUGCUAAAACAAAAC